GUCAGCUGACUCAGAACUGCUAAAGGCUGGCAGCCCAUGGCUGGCCUGGGAUCCUGUCCCAGCAAGACCAGGAGCUACUUCCAGGUUUUGCUGUACCUCCACUUUCCUCUUAACUGAAACAGAAUUUACAAGUGCUCUUCCUCCACCUAUGUGAAGAUUUCAGUUUCACCAAACAGAAGAUUCUGUUCGUUUAUAUCAAGCACAUCUGGUGUGAAAAGAUCCCUUAAUUACAAGGAGCAACACUUAAGAAGUCAAAUGUCUAACCAGAGCCUCAGAAAAACACACAUCUGUGUUGUUUCCAACACUGACAGUCGAA